rnacentral:rRNA from 1 species
GACAGAGGGUGCGAGCGUUGUCCGGAAUCACUGGGCGUAAAGGGCGCGUAGGUGGCGGCCCAAGUCCGUGGUGAAAGCUCGCCGCUUAACGGCGAGUCGGCCACGGAGACUGGGUGGCUCGAGCACUGUAGGGGCAGAUGGAAUUCCGGGUGUAGCGGUGGAAUGCGUAGAGAUCCGGAAGAACACCAGUGGCGAAGGCGGUCUGCUGGGCAGUUACUGACACUGAGGCACGAAGGCCAGGGGAGCAAACGGG